UGAUCCUGCCGGAGGCUACCGCUAUUGGAGUUCGAUUAAGCCAUGCGAGUCGCGAGUCUUAGGGACUCGGCGUACCGCUCAGUAACACGUGGGUAACCUGCCCUAUGCUGGGGGAUAACCUCGGGAAACUGAGAAUAAUACCCCAUAGUUCACCACGCCUGGAACGGUGGGUGGACCAAAGCUCCGACGGCAUAGGAUGGGCCUGCGGCGUAUCAGGUUGUAGGGGGUGUAAUGUACCCUCUAGCCCUCUACGCGUACGGGUGUUGAGAGACAUCGCCCGGAGAUGGAUUCUGAGACACGAAUCCAGACCCUACGGGGUGCAGCAGGCGCGAAAACUUGGCAAUGCGAGAAAUCGUGACCAGGGAACUCCAAGUGCAUCGGGUAAGACCGAUGCUUUUCCUGACUCUUCAAAGGUCUUGGAAUAAGGGGUGGGUAAGGACGGUGCCAGCCGCCGCGGUAAUACCGGCGCCCCAAGUGGUAGUCGCUUUUAUUGGGCCUAAAACGUCCGUAGCCGGUCUGGUACAUUCGUGGGUAAAUCAACCAGCUCAACUGGUUGAAUUCUGCGAGCACGGCCAGACUUGGGACCGGGAGAGGUGUGGGGUACUCUCAGGGUAGGGGUAAAAUCCUGUCAUCCUGAGAGGACCACCUGUUGCGAAGGCGCCACACUAGAACGGAUCCGACGGUCAGGGACGAAGCCUAGGGGCACGAACCGGAUUAGAUACCCGGGUAGUCCUAGGUGUAAACGCUGUGGACUUGAUGUUGGGGGCGCUCCGAGCGCACUCAGUGUCGAAGCGAAGGUGAUAAGUCCACUGCCUGGGGAGUACGGUCGCAAGGCUGAAACUUAAAGGAAUUGGCGGGGGAGCACCGCAACCUGAGGAUUGUGCGGUUUAAUUGGAUCAACGCCGGG
rnacentral:rRNA from 1 species